GCGUAGUCAAAAAGCUAGUAUAUCGUUACGCCACCUCAGUCGAAAUGUCAAAGCCUAAAAAAAGUAAAAACAACCCCUAAACUAGCUGCCACGGGUGAGGGAGGAGGAGAGAAGAGGCAGGUUGGCAACUGCCAAACAGAAAGGUCUUCUUUUUCUCUGUGAUCUGUUCUCUCUUUUCAACCUAUCUUCGAGACUUGCUUCUGUUACUUUUGUGGAAAGCUAGCAGCUGUGGGCAUUGAGGAGGCAUUCCCUUUCUGCACUAAACUUAAUAGUGGAUGAUGCGUACUGUGAUUUGUACUGAAAUUUGUUGGACGCCUGGAACUGCCAUUUUGUGCUGAACUUAAUUCAAACUAUCAAACCACCAGCUUGUUAUUUUGUUGCUUCA